rnacentral:lncRNA from 1 species
UACUUUAGAGUACUGCCAUCCUAGAAGCUUGUCAAAAGCCGCUCCUUGUCCAGGCGUCCUAUCUUUGCCCUAACGUCCACUUCUUGCCGUCAUCGAACCGCUUCUUUAGGUCAGGCUGUCACUUCUACUAUCAUCAAAAUGUCUCUAUUUUCCAUCAUCAUCCUUUUCCUCUUCAUCAUCUUCAACAUCUUCAUCUCCCUUAUCAUCAUCAUCAUCAUCAUUUUUCUCCUUUUCAUUAUUAUCAUCAUCUUCUGCUUGUUCAUCACCACCACCAUCACUAUCUUCUAUUUCUUCAUCACCAUC